AUUAUUUUGCCAGCUACUACGUUGGUACCUACCACAAUGUGAACAUUGUGAAGUGCGAACUACAGUCAUUUUGUCGUAAAAAUAAUACAGUGCCGUACGUUCGUCAGUUUAGGUACAAAGCGUUUGAUUAUACCUUUUUACUUAUCACGUAGGUACCUAUCACAGAAGAAUAGUGUUCCUUUAUUAUUAUCGUGCGUUUAACAAUAACGGAGUAAACUAAAUUAAGCACCUCGAUACUAUGUUGUUAUAUGAAUAUGUCAUAAACUCAACAAUUAAAGGCAUAUCUCGUGAAAAUAGGUGUACGAGGGGCGACAACAACGACUAAAAAGCGGCCACAGAAAUACACUUUCACGGUUCAUGAGAUACAGCCUGGUGACAGACCGACGGACGGACGUGCCGACAGCGGAGCCUUAGGGUCUUGUUUCGUACGGAACCCUAAAAAGGUCAGGUUACAGGUAGCUAAAAAAAACACCGGCCACCAAGCCUUUUAGAUAAAAAAUGCUAAUUAUGAAGAACUGUAUUGAUAAAGAUGAUUUUGUCAUAGAUGCUACUGUAUCAGAAAUUAACGAAAACAUUUGUCCACAUUUAUACAAGACAUAAGCUUUUACAAGUAGCACUUACAAUUCCAAUUUACGGUUUGAAUUGAUAUUGGACCUUUUGUAUAACCAGACCACACAAUAGGUUAUUAAUUAUUAUGUGAUCGCCUAUCAGACAUCGGCUUUGAUCACAAUCUACUUUGGGACGACUGUACCUGCACGAACACUCAAUACCAAAACGUCCUAACUUCGAUCCACUGUGUCAUAAUAAGUGGAGUUAGGUGGAAUUCUAAGAAAUAUCUUUUUUAAAUACGUUAUUCUUGUCGUAUGCGGUUUAUCACUUGUUUUCACUUGGCAUAAUAUAUGCUUUCUACCACAGUUUAACUAGAAUAUCAUACGUAUAUUAUUAUAAUUAUAUUGAUAUAUUUUAAUUCAUUUUGAUUUUAUACAUAAAUAUCUUAGUAAUAUUUUAUUAUUUUAUUCACUUGAAUAUAUCUUAAUAACCCGUGGUGUUAUGCGAUGAAUAUUUUGAUUGUACAAGUUCAAAACUUAUAAUAUUCAACCUAAAAACUUACUCACGAAGUACUAUUUUGCAAGGCUCUUACGAAAUACAUUUACUAAUUCCUAAAU